CUACGGGUCGCAGCAGGCGAGAAAACUUUGCAAUGUGCGAAAGCACGACAAGGUUAAUCCGAGUGGUUUCUGCUAAAGGAACCUUUUGUCGGUCCUAGAAGCACCGAUGAAUAAGGGGUGGGCAAGUUCUGGUGUCAGCCGCCGCGGUAAAACCAGCACCUCAAGUGGUCAGGAUGAUUAUUGGGCCUAAAGCAUCCGUAGCCGGCUCUGUAAGUUUUCGGUUAAAUCUGUACGCUUAACGUCCAGGCUGCCGGGAAUACUGCAUAGCUAGGGAGUGGGAGAGGUAGACGGUACUCGGUAGGAAGGGGUAAAAUCCUUUGAUCUAUUGAUGACCACCUGUGGCGAAGGCGGUCUACCAGAACACGUCCGACGGUGAGGGAUGAAAGCUGGGGGAGCAAACCGGAUUAGAUACCCGGGUAGUC
rnacentral:rRNA from 1 species